GCACUGUCUAGUGCACAGGCAACCUGGCCUUGGCCUCCUAGCCCGAGAAGCCGAAUCUCCCUAAUCCCUGUGACCUGUGUCACCUCUCCGUCACGACGAGGGGGACAAGUGGGGAGAAGUCUGGUGUCAGAUAGGAUGGCGCUGGAAGAGGGUGCCACAGCGGGGCCGGAAGGCGCCCCCACCCCAACUCCACGGGAAUAUAAACAAUUUGUAUUUUCCGAUCAGGUGGCGGGACAGGCUUCAUUGGGACAGCCCUAACCCAGCUGCUGAAUGCCAGAGGCCACGAAGUGACGUUGAUCUCCCGACACCCUGGGCCCGGCCGGAUCACGUGGGUAAGUCCAUCCUCUGGAAGCGGGUGGGAGGGCAGAGUUGGGCGGCGCAGAGCGGGGCAGCGGCACUGUGUGCUUUCUCCGACAGGAUGAGCUCGCUGCAUCGGGGCUGCCGAGCUGCGAUGCCGCCGUCAACCUGGCCGGAGAGAACAUCCUCAACCCUCUCCGAAGGUCAGCCCGGGCCCUAAAGCUGAUACCCACUAGAGCACAGGGAGGAAAGUGCCCCACUGAUGAGAACCUGUGAGCUAUGGAUGGAAUGAAACCUUCCAAAAAGAGGUUCUCGGCAGCCGCCUAGAGACCACCCAAUUGCUGGCUAAAGCCAUCACCAAAGCCCCACAACCCCCCAGGCCUGGGUCUUAGUCACAGGUGUAGCUUACUACCAGCCCAGUCUGACUGCGGAGUAUGAUGAAGACAGCCCAGGAGGAGACUUUGACUUUUUCUCCAA
rnacentral:sRNA from 1 species